UACAGAGGGUGCGAGCGUUAAUCGGAAUUACUGGGCGUAAAGCGUGCGUAGACGGUUAUCUAAGUCGGAUGUGAAAGCCCCGGGCUCAACCUGGGAAUUGCAUUCGAGACUGAAUAGCUAGGGUACGGUAGAGGGAAGCGGAAUUUCCGGUGUAGCGGUGAAAUGCGUAGAUAUCGGAAGGAACAUCAGUGGCGAAAGCGGCUUCCUGGACCAGUACCGACGUUCAGGCACGAAAGCGUGGGGAGCAAACAGG
rnacentral:rRNA from 1 species